rnacentral:rRNA from 1 species
UACGUAGGUGGCAAGCGUUGUCCGGAAUUAUUGGGCGUAAAGCGCGCGCAGGCGGUCCUUUAAGUCUGAUGUGAAAGCCCACGGCUCAACCGUGGAGGGUCAUUGGAAACUGGGGGACUUGAGUGCAGGAGAGAAGAGUGGAAUUCCACGUGUAGCGGUGAAAUGCGUAGAUAUCUGGAGGAACACCGGUGGCGAAGGCGGCAUCCUGGACCGGUAUUGACGCUGAGGCGCGAAAGCCAGGGGAGCAAACGGG